CCUACGGGAGGCAGCAGUGAGGAAUAUUGGUCAAUGGACGAGAGUCUGAACCAGCCAAGUAGCGUGAAGGAUGACUGCCCUAUGGGUUGUAAACUUCUUUUAUAUGGGAAUAAAAUGUUCCACGUGUGGGAUUUUGUAUGUACCAUAUGAAUAAGGAUCGGCUAACUCCGUGCCAGCAGCCGCGGUAAUACGGAGGAUCCGAGCGUUAUCCGGAUUUAUUGGGUUUAAAGGGAGCGUAGGUGGAUUGUUAAGUCAGUUGUGAAAGUUUGCGGCGCAACCGUAAAAUUGCAGUUGAAACUGGCAGUCGUGAGUACAGUAGAGGUGGGCGGAAUUCGUGGUGUAGCGGUGAAAUGCUUAGAUAUCACGAGGAACUCCGAUUGCGAAGGCAGCUCACUGGACUGCAACUGACACUGAGGCUCGAAAGUGUGGGUAUCAAACAGGAUUAGAUACCCCUGUAGUC
rnacentral:rRNA from 1 species